rnacentral:tRNA from 2 species
GGGCUCGUGGUUUAGUCUGGAUAUGAUACUGGACUUCGGAUCCAGUGAUCGGGGGUUCGAAUCCCUCCGAGCUCG